UACGUAGGGCGCAAGCGUUGUCCGGAAUUAUUGGGCGUAAAGAGCGCGCAGGCGGUCGUCCAAGUCGCGUGUGAAAGCCCCCGGCUCAACUGGGGAGGGUCACGCGAUACUGGUCGACUCGAAGGCAGGAGAGGGUAGUGGAAUUCCCGGUGUAGUGGUGAAAUGCGUAGAUAUCAGGAGGAACACCGGUGGCGAAGGCGGGUCUCUGGGCCGAUACUGACGCUGAGGAGCGAAAGCGUGGGGAGCGAACAGG
rnacentral:rRNA from 1 species